AAAUUGAAGAGUUUGAUCAUGGCUCAGAUUGAACGCUGGCGGCAGGCCUAACACAUGCAAGUCGAACGGUAACAGGAAGCAGCUUGCUGCUUUGCUGACGAGUGGCGGACGGGUGAGUAAUGUCUGGGAAACUGCCUGAUGGAGGGGGAUAACUACUGGAAACGGUAGCUAAUACCGCAUAACGUCGCAAGACCAAAGAGGGGGACCUUCGGGCCUCUUGCCAUCGGAUGUGCCCAGAUGGGAUUAGCUAGUAGGUGGGGUAACGGCUCACCUAGGCGACGAUCCCUAGCUGGUCUGAGAGGAUGACCAGCCACACUGGAACUGAGACACGGUCCAGACUCCUACGGGAGGCAGCAGUGGGGAAUAUUGCACAAUGGGCGCAGUCCUAAUCUAGC
rnacentral:rRNA from 1 species